UUUGCCUAUUUUGUAUUUGAAUUAAGUAAAAUAAUUUUUUUUUUUUUCAUCUAAGCGAGCGACUAAUUUUUAAGCUUUUGGUUUAUUUCCGCUUCGAACUCGGUAGCUCGAUAUUUAAAUCCUGCACAUAGAGAAAGUUUUUAACAAUUAAUAGACUUUUAUUCUUUUUAUUGUACACUCAAAUCUUCAUUAGAGGCAUAGAAUUAGCAUCAUCGUUCAACUUUUCUUUAAAUUACCACAAAAAAGCUAUAAUUAUUAAUCUAAGCACACAAAAAACGAAAUACAAUAAUGUCAUUUCACGUGUCAAAGCACACACACACACACAGAUUUAAUGGAUCAGCUGUUUCUCUUCUCAGGACCUUGGGGCAGAUGAGACCAGGGCCACCACUUGUCAUAUCACUUUCCUGACAAUAGCAGGAUCUGAUUGGCGUUUCAUGAUCACAUUAAUGUUGAAUUAAUCUUUCAUCUACGCGGUAGGUUUUAUAAGCAAAAUCAUUUUUUUAUUUCGCUACCUAUGCUGGUAGCCUUACAAGGCCGUAACCAACCGUAACCGAGCGAGUCUGAUGAGCUCACGGGGCUCGAACCUGGAGAGGCUGCUAACACUAGCCAUAGUAAUGCUUCGCAGAAUCUACCACCGGAUCGGAAACACUAUCCACUGAGAAGAUCCGGCGGUUAUAUUCCUUCGUCAUACCGGACACAUAAGACAAAUAUGAAAAUAAAAGUUGUGUAUCAAAUUUA